rnacentral:rRNA from 1 species
UACGUAGGCAGCAAGCGUUGUUCGGAAUUACUGGGCGUAAAGAGUGAUGUAGGCGGUGUUCUAAGUUUGUCGUGAAAUCUCCCCGGCUUAACUGGGAGGGUGCGGCGAAAACUGGAAUGCUAGAGGAUGGGAGAGGUAAGCGGAAUUCCUGGUGUAGCGGUGAAAUGCGUAGAUAUCAGGAGGAACACCUGUGGUGUAGACAGCUUACUGGACCAUUUCUGACGCUGAGACACGAAAGCGUGGGUAGCAAACAGG